GAUCAGCCGAAGGAUCGGCCAGCAGUCUG
rnacentral:sRNA from 1 species